rnacentral:rRNA from 1 species
CACACAGCGGAUCGCCACCUACCCCGUUUCUCUCCUCUACCGCUGUUCGUUGGAGGGGCGGGGCACUGGAAGGGGAGUUAGCUUUCCUCGGCGGAAGGGGAGCGGGAGUUAGCUAACGGGGUGGGAGAGUCUAGAUU